CUCCCUUGGGUGAACGAUUUGGGUGUGUAUUGUGUUGAAUUGAAGACGCAGCGGGAAUAUCGAGCGGGUACUACUACAGAUCAAGAGAAUCAGGAUGGAGAUCGAGCUGCGUAGAGUAGCUGCAAUUGUGUCGAUCUAAAUUACUUUGUGAGGUGUAUUAUGCUCAUUUAGAGCUUUACAAUAUUGCUUGUGAGAGUGAAUUGUAAUAAUGAACUCGAGGUUUCGAGAUUUGGAGUUUGUGUACCGUGUGGUGAGGUUAUAUUGAGAAAAAAAUUCAGAACG